CGGCGCUGGCAGUAUGACUAAAGACCAUAGAAUUCAUUCUGCCGGGGAUCCUUUGGUGCAAUGUUAACCCCCAGAGGGGAGCUGUGCCCAGGGAAGCAGUAAAAGGGCGAAUGCAGUGACCAGCUGAAGUCCCGUCUUUGCAGUGUGAGGACAGCCUUUCAAACCGCGCUGGCAGAGGCUUGUCUCCCCCUCACUGAGUCCAUCACAGUUCCGUGGGCCUUUCUCUGCCCAGAUGCUGUAGGCAUGCUGGGUUCUGAAUUCAGCGAGCGGAGAGAGUUGGACAGAGUCAGCAAUGCACCAGCGGGGGACAAAAGAAGCAGGCAAAAAGGCCAAACUCCCCUGGCGGAUCUGAGGUCAGCCACAGAAAUGCACCAAACACACAUUUCCUUCCCGUUGUGCGGGUGUCUUUGACAUGGAUUGGAAUGAAUGUGUAGCGAUCGAUAUUUAAAAUGCACUGUGCUGAAUGAAUGAUGUGAUGCCGGGUGCAUGUACUGUAAUUAAUACAGGUCAACAGCUGAAUAAUCACGACCGUGUUGCUACAGAUGUGUUGCACUUUUCAGAAUAAUGAUGAGUGUUGCUGUGCAUGGCGAUAUCA